rnacentral:rRNA from 1 species
ACCGUAAAGGUGAAAAAAUUUUGGUUUUAAUUAUGAAGAAUUUAAAGAAAGGAAAAGUUUUCUUUAAAAGGUAAAAUUAGGAGAAGAUAAUUCUUUCAUAUUUAAAACUUUGAAAGUUUAAGAAUGAAACUAGGAUUAGAUACCCUAUUAUUAUUAAAAGAAAAUAGAUUAGGUAGUAUUAGAAGGCUUGAAACUUAAAGAAUUUGGCGGUGUUUUAAUCUUACCAGAGGAACUUGCGUUAUAAAUCGAAAUUACCCGUUUUAUCUUACUUAAAUUAAUAUUUGUAUAUCGUCGUAAAAAUAAAACUUUAAAGUAAAUAUUUAAUUUUAUUGAAUGAGAAAUUACAGAUCAAGGUUCAGUUAUAUUUAAGAGAAUGUGAGUUACAAUAUUUUUAAAAAUAAAUGAAUGGAUUCUUGAAAGAGAAUGCUUGAAGGUGGAUUUGGAAGUAAGUCAAAAUAAAAAGUU